rnacentral:rRNA from 1 species
GAUGAACGCUGGCGGCGUGCCUAAUACAUGCCAGUCGAGCGAACAGACGAGGAGCUUGCUCCACUGACGUUAGCGGCGGACGGGUGAGUAACACGUGGAUAACCUACCUAUAAGACUGGGAUAACUUCGGGAAACCGGAGCUAAUACCGGAUAAUAUAUUGAACCGCAUGGUUCAAUAGUGAAAGACGGUUUUGCUGUCACUUAUAGAUGGAUCCGCGCCGCAUUGGUUAGUUGGUAAGGUAACGGCUUACCAAGGCAAGAAUGCGUGGCCGACCUGAGAGGGUGUUCGCCCACACUGGAACUGAGACACGGUCCAGACUCCCACGGGAGGCAGCGGUAGGGAAUCUUCCGCAAUGGGCGAAAUCUUGACGGAGCAACGCCGCGUGAGUGAUGAAGGUCUUCGGAUCGUAAAACUCUGUUAUUAGGGAAGAACAAAUGUGUAAGUAACUAUGCACGUCUUGACGGUACCUAAUCAGAAAGCCACGGCUAACUACGUG